rnacentral:rRNA from 2 species
UAAGGUGGUUAUGGCAGCGAGGUCCCACCUCUUCCCAUUCCGAACAGAGAAGUUAAGCUCGCUAUCGCCGAUGGUACUGAAUUUCGGGAGAGUAGGUAGCCGCCGCUU